rnacentral:rRNA from 1 species
AGAGGAGCUGUCCUUAGUACGAGAGGACCGGGAUGGACUGACCUCUGGUGUAUCGGUUGAGUAUCAGACUCAUGGCCGAGUAGCCAAGUCGGGACGGGAUAAACGCUGAAGGCAUCUAAGCGUGAAGCCCCCCUCAAGAUGAGAUAUCCCAUACGCAAGUAGUAAGACCCCUUGAAGACGACGAGGUAGAUAGGGCAGAGGUGGAAGCGCAGUAAUGCGUGGAGCUGACUGUCACUAAUAGGUCGAGGGCUUGACCAAU